rnacentral:lncRNA from 1 species
CUGUUUCAGAUUAGAAUUCCAAGAAUUCUAUUUCACAAAAGGAGUUGGAGCCCCACUAGACAAUAUAUACAGCACAUUCUGACAAAAAGAGAACUGCUAAAAAGAUUUGACACCUUUCUGUAAGUGGAAACAUCUCAAUUCCCUGGUGUAAGAAAAAAUCCGAUCUAACAAUAUUUGCAAUUUUAACAAAGUUGCAUUAGACUGCUGUGGGCCAGGGGCAUGUGGUGGGUCAACCAGUAGGACCACUCUGCAUGCCUGGCCAACUCAGCAAUGUAUUAGCACUUAACAAGUUGCAUUUGUCUCUACUAGCCUGCUUUAGCAAUAUAACUAUCAAAUGACUAACAGCUAACAAACCUAUAGACUCAUUAACAAGAAAUUUUUCAGUGAAUAAGACAUCAAGCCAGCUGCUCGUAGAGUUUGGAUCGAGAGCAAGUUCUUUCAUGCACUUCCAUUUUUCUUUCAACUACUGUUUUUAAUGAAAAAUGGCAACUGGAGCAGAUACUCAAGAAUCAGUUUCAACAACGGUAUGAAUCAAUUCUUCCAUCUAGCUGUACUGUGAUAUUUUGUAACUAGAACUGCUACCAUACUGUUUCUAAUUUGUUUUAGAUCUAGAUUAACUCUGGAUUCUGCAUCCAUAAAGUUCUAAGACAAUAGCAGCAAAUAGUAUGUUCUGGAAUAGUUUAAAAGGUUCCCAAGAUCAUGUGCGAGUCGAGAAGAAAAAUACAUAUUCUUCCCCUGAAAAUAAAAGGUGCGAGAACUCAGAAUCAACAGAUCGUAUUCAGUCUUUACCUAUAUACAUAUAUAUAUAUAUAAACUAGAGAAGUGUAUAAAAGUCUCUUUUAUCUCUUCUUUAAGCUCAAAGUGUGAAUCUUUUUUAUCGAUGUGAAAAAUAAAAAUAAAAAAGAAAAUUUUUCUCAGGUUCAGGUAGUUUUCAGAUUUAUUUCCCAGCGAUGCUAGUUAAUACCCUCCUUUUUUCUUUUCACUUUCAGUUUUGACUUCUUUGAUCGAGGUUGGCUCCUGCAACCAAGAAUUUAACACUUAACAUGUUUCUCUUCUUUAACUUCUACGGUAUACGUUGGAGAAAAGUCAUUUAGAACUUGAAAAUUUGUAAAAUUACUUUUGUUCAACAUAGAUCCUAAUGGUUCUCCAAAAUAGAAACGAACGACUAUUUAACUUCUGUUUGAAAUCAUUAUAAUUUAUUUCCAAAUUGUAUCAAAUUUAAUGAAAUUUGAAAUAUAUUACUUCAAUUUUACUUGGAAUUUAUUUGGCAUCGAAUUUUCAUGUUUUCAUGAUAUAGUUAAAUAAAUAAAUUCCAUGAAUUCAACAAAAUAGCUCAUUUUCCGAAAAUACCCUUAUGUUCCUAUAUUUACCACUGGUCAGCUACAGCUUUCUAAAUACCAGAAAACAAAGAUCUUUUGGGUCUAGAGAAGGCCUAGUUUGUUGAGUUUUAAUAAUAUCAAAAAAGAAAAAAAUCAGUAGGACGUAGCUGAACCCCAUCACAGCUGCAAGAACAUGAGUUAUGUCAAGAUACAUCAAGUUUAGUUCAAAUUUUCUUUUUUUAUGGAUGAGAUAUGAAAUGUUCGGUACGAAGGUAGAGUAAGUAUAAUAUCCCUCAAGACGAUAUGUAAUAUAUUCCAAACAUCGAAGUUUAUAGAUGGAUUCUCCAGUAGCCACUGCAAGCUAACUGUUCAACUAAAAAGUCAACUUUGACCUUAUAAUUUGUGCUAGAUGAAUCACCUGUAAUCUACAUUUAGAAGAAUGGCUGCGGUUGCUCCAACAUAAUUGGAAAAUGAUCAAGAUGGUAGAUUAACGUUAGAAUGUUGAAGUUCAAGAUAGGAAAUUAAUUCCAUUAAAUUUCUCAGAACUCGGUGGACACAUAUGUUUUCCUAUGUGAUUUCUUCUGACAGUGAAUGUUGAUUCCUAUAGGCCCAGACACUAAACAUGCAAGCAGAAGUUGUUGAUGAAGUUGAAACCAUGAAAACCGUCCUUCAAAGCAAUGUUGCAACCUCAGAAGAUGAA